rnacentral:rRNA from 1 species
UACGUAGGCAGCAAGCGUUGUUCGGAGUUACUGGGCGUAAAGGGUGCGUAGGCGGCGCGGUAAGUCGGGUGUGAAAUCUUGGAGCUUAACUCCGAAACUGCAUUCGAUACUGCCGUGCUUGAGGACUGGAGAGGAGACUGGAAUUUACGGUGUAGCGGUGAAAUGCGUAGAUAUCGGGAGGAACACCAGUGGCGAAGGCGGCUUCCUGGCCUGUUCUUGACGCUGAGGCGCGAAAGCUAGGGGAGCAAACGGG